GAACACGUAGCUCCGACGGCAAAAGUACCGCGUUUUUAUGCGGAUGGACGCGGGUUCGAUUCCCGCCGUGUCCA
rnacentral:tRNA from 1 species